UACGAAGGGUGCAAACGUUGCUCGGAAUUAUUGGGCGUAAAGCGCACGUAGGCGGCUUGGCAAGUCGGAUGUGAAAUCCCUCGGCUCAACCAAGGAAGUGCAUCCGAAACUGCUGAGCUUGAGUACGAAAGAGGAUCGCGGAAUUCCCGGUGUAGAGGUGAAAUUCGUAGAUAUCGAGAGGAACACCUGUGGCGAAGGCGGCCAACUGGACGAGUACUGACACUGAGACACGAAAGCGUGGGGAGCAAACAGG
rnacentral:rRNA from 1 species